UACGGAGGGUGCAAGCGUUACUCGGAAUCACUGGGCUUAAAGGGCGUGUAGGCGUCCCGAUCAGUCAGAUGUGGAAGCCUUGGGCUUAACCCAAGAAGUGCAUUUGAAACUGUCGGGAUUGAGUCGUGCAAGGGAGGGCGGAAUUCCUGGUGUAGCGGUGAAAUGCGUAGAUAUCAGGAGGAAUACCGGUGGCGAAGGCGGCCCCCUGGACAGAUACUGACACUCAGAUGCGAAAGCGUGGGGAGCAAACAGG
rnacentral:rRNA from 1 species